rnacentral:lncRNA from 1 species
GCUAGAUGAAUUUUUAUGGGAUGAAUGCUGAAAGCAUGAAAUGGAUGGAGAUGCCUGAGUGAGCUGGCUGUAUUCUUUGCUUUCCCUGUUUCCCUCUCAUUGGAGGGAACAACAAAGGACUUUUUCUUUGGCUGGCCUGGGGACAUCUCUUAGCCAGACAGGAGUGCGAGUGAUGCACUUGGAGGAUGAGGAAGGAGUUACUGGUAGUGGUUGUGCUGCAAAGUUCCUGGCAGAUAUUACAGAUAUUUGUUUAGCUAUUGAUGUGCCUGUGUUGCCUCCUUCUCCCCACAACAACAUUUUUUUUGUCUCCACAAAUGUAGAAAACUGGGCUGGGAAAGAAGGAGCUGUAAUGACAAGGAGUUCAAGGUCCCUUCCAGCCCAACCUGUCCUGUGAUUAUUCAGGCUGGCAUCAGUGGAUUAAUUACCUGCAGAACAUUAUAAAUCAGCCCUGGCUACUCAGGGAGUGCAACUUGACUCAGGAUAGAAAUCCAUCCUGACUUGUGUUCACCUCGAUCCCUGCACUGUUGUGCUGCAGCUGCUGGGCCCCGCCAUGAGGCCUGGUCCUUUCCCUCCGCUUUGGGAAGAGAUGUGCUCAGCACUGAUCCCAGGGGAUGUGCCUUUCAUCGGGAAGCAGGAGAAGCAGAGCAGAUCCAUGUGGAGCCCCAAGUAUAUUCCAGGAGUUCUGGGAGCUGGGAAGAGCAUCUGUCUUUGAGCCAGGUACCUCUUGAAUAUCACCUUGCCCAUGCCCACCUUGGUGUCCAGCUCCAGGGGAAGAUGGAGAAGCUCCAUGAGAAAUAUCAUGUGGAAUAUCCCGAGUUAGAAGGAUUGAAACCCACCUUCUGGCCCUGCACAGGACACCCCCAAUAUUGCAAACAAGGUGCCCCAAAAAAAGGUAGGAAUGAUGAAUCUGACUCUAUGUUCUCAGAAUGCUAAUUUAUUACUUUAUCAUACUAUCUGAUAUUAAAGAAUACUAUACUAUACUAAAGAAUACAGAAAGAACACUUGCUGAAUGCUAAAAAGAUAAUAAUGAAAGCUUGUGACUCUCUCCAGAGUCUGACACAGCCUGGCCCUGAUUGGCCAAAGAGCCAAAACAACUCACAGCAGAAGCCAGUGGAACAAUCACCUGUGGGUGAACAAUCUCCAAACACAUUCCACAUGAGCACAACACAGGAGAAGCAAAUGAGAUAAGAAUUGUUUUCCUUUUCUCUGAGGGUUCUCAGCUUCCCAGGAGAAAAAUCCCUGGGCAAAGGAAGUUUUUCAGAGAAUGUGAAUGCUACACCCCAAGAAUUCCCAGCGUGCCUGCAGGCCUGGGAAGGCUGUGGGCUUCAUCCUGAGUCCUGAACACCAGUCCAGAGCAUUUCACAGCUGGAAGAGAUGGAAUAAACCAGCUCACUACAAACGUGCUGCUUGUCUU